UACGGAGGAUGCGAGCGUUAUCCGGAUUUAUUGGGUUUAAAGGGUGCGUAGGCGGCUUAGUAAGUCAGCGGUGAAAUUUUGCAGCUUAACUGUAACAGUGCCGUUGAUACUGCCAGGCUAGGAUUUGGUUGCUGUGGGUGGAAUGUGUGGUGUAGCGGUGAAAUGCUUAGAUAUCACACAGAAUAUCGAUUGCGAAGGCAGCUCACAAAGCCAAGAUUGACGCUGAGGCACGAAAGUGUGGGGAUUAGAUA
rnacentral:rRNA from 1 species